rnacentral:rRNA from 1 species
GACGAACGCUGGCGGCGUGCCUAAUACAUGCAAGUCGAGCGGACAGAUAAGGAGCUUGCUCCUUUGAAGUCAGCGGCGGACGGGUGAGUAACACGUGGGCAACCUGCCUAUAAGACUGGGAUAACUCCGGGAAACCGGGGCUAAUACCGGAUAGAUUCUUUCCUCUCAUGAGGAAAGAAGGAAAGAUGGUUUCGGCUAUCACUUAUAGAUGGGCCCGCGGCGCAUUAGCUCGUUGGUAAGGUGACGGCUUACCAAGGCGACGAUGCGUAGCCGACCUGAGAGGGUGAUCGGCCACACUGGGACUGAGACACGGCCCAGACUCCUACGGGAGGCAGCAGUAGGGAAUCUUCCGCAAUGGACGAAAGUCUGACGGAGCAACGCCGCGUGAACGAAGAAGGCCUUCGGGUCGUAAAGUUCUGUUGUUAGGGAAGAACAAGUACGAUAGUAACUGAUCGUACCUUGACGGUACCUAACCAGAAAGCCACGGCUAACUACGUGCCAGCCGCCGCCGUAACAC